rnacentral:rRNA from 1 species
UACGGAGGGAGCUAGCGUUGUUCGGAAUUACUGGGCGUAAAGCGCGCGUAGGCGGCUUUGUAAGUUAGAGGUGAAAGCCCGGGGCUCAACUCCGGAACUGCCUUUAAGACUGCAUCGCUUGAAUCCGGGAGAGGUGAGUGGAAUUCCGAGUGUAGAGGUGAAAUUCGUAGAUAUUAGGAAGAACACCAGUGGCGAAGGCGGCUCACUGGCCCGGUACUGACGCUGAGGCGCGAAAGCGUGGGGAGCAAACAGG